rnacentral:rRNA from 1 species
GAUCAUGGCUCAGGAUGAACGCUGGCGGCACGCCUAACACAUGCAAGUCGAACGGAGUUAUGGGAGCUUGCUCCUAUAAACUUAGUGGCGGACGGGUGAGUAACACGUGAGCAACCUGCCUUUCAGAGAGGGAUAGCUUCUGGAAACGGAUGGUAAUACCUCAUAACAUACAGAAUCGGCAUCGUUUCUGUAUCAAAGAUUUAUCGCUGAAAGAUGGGCUCGCGUCUGAUUAGCUGGUUGGUGAGGUAACGGCCCACCAAGGCAACGAUCAGUAGCCGGACUGAGAGGUUGAACGGCCACAUUGGGACUGAGACACGGCCCAGACUCCUACGGGAGGCAGCAGUGGGGAAUAUUGCACAAUGGGCGCAAGCCUGAUGCAGCGAUGCCGCGUGAGGGAAGAAGGUUUUCGGAUUGUAAACCUCUGUCAUCGGGGACGAAAAUGACGGUACCCGAGAAGGAAGCUCCGGCCUAACUACGUGCCAGCAGCCGC